GGGGAGACUCCCUGCAACAACCCGAACAGAGGUUUAUGUGGGACGAUGUCAGAAGGAGAAGACCUGAGGCAUAAAUUUGGAGCCUCCUGAAAGGGACUUGAAACUGGGAUGAGAUUCAAUUCCUACAGGUUUCGGAUCCCAUUUGGGAUACCAAUUUAUAUUUGAUUGUCAUGUCUCCUGAGGCUCCUCUUGGUGGUGACAGUGUCCUAGACUUUCCUUGAUUUUGAUGACCUGGACAGUUUUGAGGAGUACUGCUGUACACUUUGGAAGAGAGUCACUAUGCGUAGUCCACACGUAAGGAAAGGAAAACUAAUCUCUACCUCCUUGAGGGACAAGUAUCU